rnacentral:lncRNA from 1 species
CUAAAUAUAUCUUUAUGAACGAUGUAUCAUUUGAAUUAUUCUCGAACUCGGAGUUUUAAGGGACAUAAAAGAUUCUAUUUAUGGUUUAUAUUAGGUGCUUUGAAUGGAUCUAAACGACUGUUUUGCAUACAAUCACUGGGAGUUAACUUAACUGAACUUCCCGGAUACAUGUUUGCUUGUAUCCAAAUGAUAACCACUAUUUAUCAUUCUUAUCUGGGGGUUUUAUAUAGAUUAAACAGAUGUUAUUUUAUAAUUUGCUCAAAAGAUGUGUUUACUUGUAUCUGCAUUGUGCCAAAAUUAAUGAUAUUAAUGCAAAUUUAUCAUAUACAAUAUAUGAAUACUUAUUUUUACUAUUUCCUCCUGUUUAGUGAGUAAAAUUGAGAAUGGAAACGGGGAAUGUGUCAAAGUGACAACAACCCUGCAAUUUUGAGAUGCCAUCUUACAGUGGCAGAUUCAGGAGGCUGAAGGAGGCGUAAACUCCCUACCUUUUUUUUUUUUUUUUUUUUUAUCACAAACAUAUUAUAUUUGGGCAAAACUCAUCAAAAUGCUACUCUCUGCAUUAUUUUUAUCAUUUCUGACAACUGUUCCCCUUACUUAUUCAACCUUGCAUCUGCACCUGAUUUAUAAGUUCAAAUAAAGGAUGUCCUAGAUGUCAUUCACAUCAAAGAGAUGAUUAUCCAUAAUUAAUGUUUAUGUAUGCUAGACUUGUGAGAACAAAUUUGUCAAGCUUUCAAAAAAAAAUAUACAUAUACAGGACCAAUACUUAUCAUUUACAAAUAAGUGAUAAAGACUGAUGAAGAUACAUUUGAGAAACAUAUAUAGGCUAAUGAUGUUGUAGUCCACCAUUUUGAUAUUCAUGUAUGUGAUAGUUUUUGCAAACUAAAGAUGUUAGAUUUUUCUUUAUAUACUUUUUUGUUUGUGUUUU